rnacentral:rRNA from 1 species
GACGAACCGAGCGAACGUUAUUCGGAAUCACUGGGCUUAAAGGGCGCGUAGGCGGGCGAUCAAGUCAGGGGUGAAAGCCCCCAGCUCAACUGGGGAAGUGCCUUUGAUACUGGUCGUCUCGAGGGGGAUAGGGGCGUGCGGAACUUCCGGUGGAGCGGUGAAAUGCGUAGAUAUCGGAAGGAACACCAGUGGCGAAGGCGGCUCACUGGCCCGGUACUGACGCUGAGGCACGAAAGCGUGGGGAGCAAACAGG